CAGCCGCCGCGGGAAAACGGAGGGGGCUAGCGUUGUUCGGAAUUACUGGGCGUAAAGCGCACGUAGGCGGCUUGGUAAGUUAGAGGUGAAAGCCUGGAGCUCAACUCCAGAAUUGCCUUUAAGACUGCCGAGCUAGUAGGUGAGAGAGGUAAGUGGAAUUCCGAGUGUAGAGGUGAAAUUCGUAGAUAUUCGGAAGAACACCAGUGGCGAAGGCGGCUUACUGGCUCAUUCUAGACGCUGAGGUGCGAAAGCGUGGGGAGCAAACAGGAUUAGAUACCCCUGUAGUCCUGUCUCUUAUACA
rnacentral:rRNA from 1 species